CUCUAAGUAACCAGCGACUCUUGAAGCAGAUAGUCCAAUUCAGAGUGCACAUUGACCGUAUGAAGAAGGAACUUCCCAGGCUAAAGGGCCAGGUACGGGACCUCCAGAUGCAGAGGAAGGACCCACGGGAGGUGGUCUUUGCCAGUGUCCUGCUUCGGAAACCCAAGUGUACUCCAGACAUGGAUGUCAUCCUCAAUAUCCCUGAGGAAGAAAUUCUUCCCUUUUAGCCCUGGCACAGGAUAGGACUCUACCCUGGCUGGUCAUGUCCGACAUCCCUUGUCUUUCUCCCAAUCAUCGUUGUUCUCCAUCCUGGGAGCUAUGUUCCCAGCUUCAUGUAGGACAUCUUAGUCCAUUUAGAGGAGUUUUCAGCAACUUCUUCACCCUCUGAUUUUUACCUCUUUUUCACUUGAUGC
rnacentral:lncRNA from 1 species